GGUUCAAUUGGUGUAGUGGUUUGAGCAUUGGGCUAAGACUCUGGAGACCAGGGUUCAAAUCCCCAUUCAGCCA